CCCGGUGGUUUUUCCGGCAGGGUCACACCCGAUCCCAUUCCGAACUCGGAAGUUAAGCCUGCCAGGGCCGAUGGUACUAGUACCGCAGGGUUCUGGAAGAGUAGGUCGCCGCCGGGG
rnacentral:rRNA from 6 species